rnacentral:rRNA from 1 species
CCUACGGGCGGCAGCAGUGAGGAAUAUUGGUCAAUGGACGAAAGUCUGAACCAGCCAAGUCGCGUGAAGGAUGACUGUCCUAUGGGUUGUAAACCUCUUUUAUAUGGGAAUAAAAUGUUCCACGUGUGGGAUUUUGUAUGUACCAUAUGAAUAAGGAUCGGCUAACUCCGUGCCAGCAGCCGCGGUAAUACGGAGGCUCCGAGCGUUAUCCGGAUUUAUUGGGUUUAAAGGGAGCGUAGGUGGUUUGUUAAGUCAGUUGGGAACGUUUGGGGCUCAACCGGAGAAUUGCAGUUGAAACUGGCAGUCUAGAGUAAAGGAGAGGUAGGCGGAAUUCGUGGUGUAGCGGUGAAAUGCUUAGAUAUCGCGAAGAACUCCGGUUGCGAAGGCAGGUUACUGGACUGCAACUGACGCUGAGGCACGAAAGUGUGGGUAUCGAACAGGAUUAGAUACCCGAGUAGUC